rnacentral:rRNA from 1 species
UACGUAGGGACCGAGCGUUGUCCGGAAUCAUUGGGCGUAAGGAGCGUGUAGGCGGCUUGUUAAGUCUUGCGUGAAAUCUCGGGGCUCAACCCCGAGCGGUCGUGAGAAACUGGCAGGCUAGAGUGCGGGAGAGGAGAGUGGAAUUCCUGGUGUAGCGGUGAAAUGCGCAGAUAUCAGGAAGAACACCCGUGGCGAAGGCGGCUCUCUGGAACGCAACUGACGCUGAGACGCGAAAGCGUGGGGAGCAAACAGG